GACGAACGCUGGCGGCGUGCCUAAUACAUGCAAGUAGAACGCUGAAGAAAGGAGCUUGCUUCUUUUGGAUGAGUUGCGAACGGGUGAGUAACGCGUAGGUAACCUGCCUUGUAGCGGGGGAUAACUAUUGGAAACGAUAGCUAAUACCGCAUAACAGCUUUUGACACAUGUUAGAAGCUUGAAAGAUGCAAUUGCAUCACUACGAGAUGGACCUGCGUUGUAUUAGCUAGUAGGUAGGGUAACGGCCUACCUAGGCGACGAUACAUAGCCGACCUGAGAGGGUGAUCGGCCUCACUGGGACUGAGACACGGCCCAGACUCCUACGGGAGGCAGCAGUAGGGAAUCUUCGGCAAUGGGGGCAACCCUGACCGAGCAACGCCGCGUGAGUGAAGAAGGUUUUCGGAUCGUAAAGCUCUGUUGUAAGAGAAGAACGUGUGUGAGAGUGGAAAGUUCACACAGUGACGGUAACUUACCAGAAAGGGACGGCUAACUACGUGCCAGCAGCCGCGGUAAUACGUAGGUCCCGAGCGUUGUCCGGAUUUAUUGGGCGUAAAGCGAGCGCAGGCGGUUUAAUAAGUCUGAAGUUAAAGGCAGUGGCUUAACCAUUGUUCGCUUUGGAAACUGUUAAACUUGAGUGCAGAAGGGGAGAGCGGAAUUCCAUGCGU
rnacentral:rRNA from 1 species